rnacentral:rRNA from 12 species
GCGAACGGGUGAGUAACACGUGGGCAAUCUGCCCUUCACUCUGGGACAAGCCCUGGAAACGGGGUCUAAUACCGGAUAACACUCUGUCCCGCAUGGGACGGGGUUAAAAGCUCCGGCGGUGAAGGAUGAGCCCGCGGCCUAUCAGCUUGUUGGUGGGGUAAUGGCCUACCAAGGCGACGACGGGUAGCCGGCCUGAGAGGGCGACCGGCCACACUGGGACUGAGACACGGCCCAGACUCCUACGGGAGGCAGCAGUGGGGAAUAUUGCACAAUGGGCGAAAGCCUGAUGCAGCGACGCCGCGUGAGGGAUGACGGCCUUCGGGUUGUAAACCUCUUUCAGCAGGGAAGAAGCGAAAGUGACGGUACCUGCAGAAGAAGCGCCGGCUAACUACGUGCCAGCAGCCGCGGUAAUACGUAGGGCGCAAGCGUUGUCCGGAAUUAUUGGGCGUAAAGAGCUCGUAGGCGGCUUGUCACGUCGGAUGUGAAAGCCCGGGGCUUAACCCCGGGUCUGCAUUCGAUACGGGCUAGCUAGAGUGUGGUAGGGGAGAUCGGAAUUCCUGGUGUAGCGGUGAAAUGCGCAGAUAUCAGGAGGAACACCGGUGGCGAAGGCGGAUCUCUGGGCCAUUACUGACGCUGAGGAGCGAAAGCGUGGGGAGCGAACAGGAUUAGAUACCCUGGUAGUCCA